GAUGAAUGCUGGCGGCGUGCCUAACACAUGCAAGUCGAGCGGCAGCGAGUUUUACACUGAAUUCUGGAAGCUUCUGAGUAGUACAGAAGAUUUAUUCAAGAGUUUUGUGUAAAAUGUCGGCGAGCGGCGGACGGCUGAGUAACGCGUAGGAAUUUGCCCCAAAGUGAGGAAUAACUGCCCGAAAGGGUAGCUAAUGCCGCAUAUGGUCUUCGGAUUAAAGCCUUCGGGCGCUUUGGGAGAAGCCUGCGUUGGAUUAGGUAGUUGGUAGGGUAAUGGCCUACCAAGCCGACGAUCCAUAGCUGGGCUGAGAGGAUGAUCAGCCAGACUGGAACUGAGACACGGUCCAGACUCGUACGGGAGGCAGCAGUGAGGAAUCUUCCACAAUGGGCGAAAGCCUGAUGGAGCAACGCCGCGUGAAGGAUGAAGGCCUUCGGGUUGUAAACUUCUUUUAUGAGUGAAGAAUAUGACGGUAACUCAUGAAUAAGCACCGGCUAACUACGUG
rnacentral:rRNA from 1 species